ACAAGUUAAUAAAGAAGAAGGGUUAAUUGACAAAUAAAUUGUUUUGAGAGGUAAAUUUACGAACUCUUCAAAAGUGCAAGGGCUUUUUCUGCACUAUAUUAAAGCUCCACUCUUCUCCCAUGUCAAGCCCGGAGAACCCUAGUUUUCACUUGGCCGCCGCACCCCUUUACUGCUAUUAGCAUAGUAAUACUGGGUUGCUAACUUGCUAUGUUGAGUGUUUGAUUGUCUGUUAAGGCUGCUAAAAUGUUCUCGUGUUAUCAUAUAUAAAUUUUUCUGUGCAAAUUUAAGCCAAAUCUGGUUGUGCUAGCCACAAACUUUUUUAUCAUUUCUUAAGAUUUGUUGAACUCCAAAUUGCGUUGAUAUAUCGAAUAUUUUGAUCCUUUUUGUAAAAGUUGGAGUGUUUUUUUAAAAUAUAUGUAAUACAUUUUUCAGGAACUUGCUUUCUUUAUUUUUCAGCAUUUUACAUGGUUGUGGGUUGCAGAGGUUUUUGUGUGAAACACGGGAGGCGAGUAUACAUGCUCUUUUGAUGGAAUCAAUUAUCAAAUAAGGGCAACAGCAGUUUGAUAUUUAAUGAACGCUUUAUGUUUCAAAUAAAACCUUCUGCGAUCCAUAACCAUGUUAAUUUUGGGACUAGAAUUUUCUUGUCCUCAAGUGUUGUAGAAUAAGAAAGCAAGGUUUCAGAUGUUUGUAUAAUAUUUGCAGCGUAGUUGAAGUAUAAGAUCCAUGCAUUGUUCGGAUUAACUACGAUGUAUCAAGCUUACACUUUUUCACGCUGCAUCUUGUUAUUUUUAUUGUUAUUGUGGUUAGCUUCUUGAUCAUGGACAAAACAUUAGAGUAUCAAAGAAAAGUCACAACAUGCCGUUGUCUUUGAUGCAAAAAUUGUGUGCUCUCACAUUUAAAUUAAGGUAUUAGGUAUUCGACCAAUAAUUAUUUUGGAACAAUCUUCCUUUUGUAUGGUUGUGGUUGUUGAAGGACUCAUGUGAACAAGGAGUUGAAGUGCAAAAUAACAAGGAAAGUGUUAGAAGCUACUUGGUGUACCUAUAGAAACCAUCAUCCAAGAGAAAAAAAUACAAGGAGCCAUGUUGCAAUCUUUCGCAUGUCGAAGAAGACACUUUUGUUUCUCAUAAUUCCUUCAGCCAUCCACAACCAUAUCAAUUGUGAGAUUUUAAUGUUCUUACUUAUCAUGUGUUGCAAAAUAAACAAAGUAUGACCUCAAGCUAUUUUUCAAUGCCUAUAGCUUAGUUUGAGCCUGUCUUUUCAUAUCACUUAUAGUACAUAAUUUAAAAUUUCUCCCACCUUGUUUUUCAACUAAAAACUCUUCCCACCUUAUACUUGAUUUAUUUCUUUUUUGUGUUUUUGCAAGUGACUCAACUACUAAAACAACCGAAAAUGGUGGGUUUCAUAUCGUUUUUUGCAAUUAUCUCCAAUUUCUUGUGCUACAGUUCCCAAUGCCUGUCUUUAUAAAAAUUAAACUCAGAGGCACCAUAUUCCUUGAGAAGAGAUAUUUAUUACCGUAUUUGCCAAUAUCCUUGUUGUUUGGUUUGAAUACAUGUUAUGCUGGGAUUAGUUAUGUUGGGAUUAUUUAUACUGAGAUUAGUAACCAAACAAAGAAUGAGUCGGUACUAAAUUUUUAUUCCAGGAUUAUUUUUGCUUAUCCAUCAUACCAAGUUGUGGUAUUUUUCAUUUUGAAAUGAUCUGUUGUGGUCAUAAUAUGCAUCAAUGCUCUAAAAGAUAACCAACUAUUCUUGUGAUGGUUAUUGCUUACAUGGAAACCAAGACUAUAUUAUCAAUACUUGGAGAAUCAAGAUUCCCUACAAGGUAGCUUGUUUCACUUGGCUACUAGCAAAGGAGGCUGUUUUAACCCAAGAUAAUCUCAUAAAGAGAGGGAUCUCAUUGUGCUCAAGAUGCUGAGACAAUUAGCCAUCUAUUUUUACAUUACAAGAUAACGGACCAACUAUGGAAAAUCUUUCUUAGUCUCAGGGGUAUUUCAUGGACAAUGCUUGCCUAUACAAUUAUUGAAGUUCUUUUCAGUUGGGAUGAAGCUGGAGCUAAAAUAACAAACAGAGAUAGAUGGAGGACUGUCCCAGCAUGUAUCUGGUGGACAGUCUGGAAAGAGAGGAAUUCUAGAUUUUUGUAGGACAGAAGCAACUCAGUGCAGAAGAUCAAGCUUAGUUGUGUUCCACUCUUUUGUUUUUGGUGUAAACAGAUUUACACAGAAGAUAUUGUGUCAAUCUUAGAUAUUCUAGGGUCUUGCUAACAUACCAGUUUUCUUAUUUGUACUUACCUGUAAAUAUGGUUUUCAGUAUAACCAAUGUACUGAUUUUAUUAAUAUAUACAAAUGUUAUCAGUUAAAAAAAAAUAAAAAUACUAGGAGAUUCUGGAUU